GUCUAUGGCCAUGCUACCCUGAACAUGCUUGAUCCUGUCUGAUCUCGGAAGUUAAGCAGGGUUGGGCUUGGUUAGUACUUGGAUGGGAGACCACCUAGGAAGACCAGGUGCUAUAGGCA
rnacentral:rRNA from 1 species